UGCGUCACGACGCCGAAAGGUGGAGUCAAUCGCGAAACCCAGUCGUAGUCGGGAUCGCGGGUUGGAACUCACCCGCGUGAACCUGGAAUCCCUAGUAUCCGCGUGUCACUAUCGCGCGGAGAAUACGUCCCUGCUUCUUGCACACACCGCCCGUCGCUCCAUGCGAGCUGUUCUGGGGUGAGGUGUCGUCCACUGGGCGAUGACGAAUCUUGGGAUAGCAAGUAGGGAGAAGUCGUAAUCGAUUCACGUUUCGUGAACGACGGCAAACAAGGUAUCCGUAGCGGAAGCUGCGGAUGGAAGAAGAUGA
rnacentral:rRNA from 1 species